UACCAGCACCCCGAGUGGUCGGGACGAUUAUUGGGCCUAAAGCAUCCGUAGCCGGUCCUACAAGUCUUCCGUUAAAUCCACCCGCUUAACAGAUGGGCUGCGGAAGAUACUAUAGGGCUAGGAGGCGGGAGAGGCAAGCGGUACUCAGUGGGUAGGGGUAAAAUCCUCUGAUCCAUUGAAGACCACCAGUGGCGAAGGCGGCUUGCCAGAACGCGCUCGACGGUGAGGGAUGAAAGCUGGGGGGAGCAAACCGG
rnacentral:rRNA from 1 species